GGCAGCCUAUCACCCUGCAGCUCUAGACUAGUUACCCAUCGAGGCUAAGCAGGGUUGAGCCAGGACAGUACCAGGAUGAAAGACCUCCUGGAGAGAACUAAGGUGCUGCUC
ensembl:rRNA 5S_rRNA 5S ribosomal RNA